UGGGGAAUAUUGGACAAUGGGCGAAAGCCUGAUCCAGCCAUGCCGCGUGUGUGAAGAAGGUCUCCGGAUUGUAAAGCACUUUAAGUUGGGAGGAAGGGCAUUAACCUAAUACGUUAGUGUUUUGACGUUACCGACAGAAUAAGCACCGGCUAACUCUGUGCCAGCAGCCGCGGUAAUACAGAGGGUGCAAGCGUUAAUCGGAAUUACUGGGCGUAAAGCGCGCGUAGGUGGUUUGUUAAGUUGGAUGUGAAAUCCCCGGGCUCAACCUGGGAACUGCAUUCAAAACUGACUGACUAGAGUAUGGUAGAGGGUGGUGGAAUUUCCUGUGUAGCGGUGAAAUGCGUAGAUAUAGGAAGGAACACCAGUGGCGAAGGCGACCACCUGGACUAAUACUGACACUGAGGUGCGAAAGCGUGGGGAGCAAACA
rnacentral:rRNA from 1 species